rnacentral:rRNA from 1 species
UACGGAGGGUGCAAGCGUUAUCCGGAUUUACUGGUUAAGGUGCGCAGGCGGAUAUGUAAGUCAGUGGUGAAAUCUCUAGGCUUAACCUGGAAUUGCCGUUGAUACUAUAUAUCUUGAAUGUUGUGGAGGUAAGCAGAAUAUGUCAUGUAGCGGUGAAAUGCUUAGAUAUGACAUAGAAUACCUAUUGCGAAGGCAGCUUACUACGCAGAUAUUGACGCUCAUGCACGAAAGCGUGGGGAUCAAACAGG